GGUUCCUUAGAUCGUACAUACUACAUGGAUAACUGUAGUAAUUCUAGAGCUAAUACAUGCCACUAUGCCCUGACCCGCAAGGGGAUGGGUGGAUUUAUUAGAACAGAACCAACCAGGGAUAGUUUCGGCUAUCCCUGUUGUACUCUGUGAUGACUCUGGAUAACUUCACUGAUCGCAGUCGGCCUUGUGUCGGCGACGGAUCUUUCAAAUAUCUGCCCUAUCAACUGUCGAUGGUAGGUGACCUGCCUACCAUGGUGAUAACGGGUAACGGGGAAUCAGGGUUCGAUUCCGGAGAGGGAGCCUGAGAAACGGCUACCACUUCCAAGGAAGGCAGCAGGCGCGAAAAUUACCCACUCCCGGCACGGGGAGGUAGUGACGAAAAAUACGAAUACGGGACUCAAUCGAGGCUCCGUAAUUCGAAUGAGUACACUUUAAAUCCUUUAACGAGGACCAAUUGGAGGGCAAGUCUGGUGCCAGCAGCCGCGGUAACUCCAGCUCCAAAAGCGUAUAUUAAAGUUGCUGCAGUUAAAAAGCUCGUAGUUGGAUCUGGGUUGUGUGGUCACAUACCGUUGCUCGUUCUACUGUCUUUGAUUACGAUCAAGACGGGAGUUCGGGUCGGUGUAGUGACCGUGCAACCUUUCAGUCGUGUCUGUGUAAACAGGUGUUAGCUUGGUCAAUAGGUUCGCCCUAUUGGCCUGCUAGCAUGCUUCCG
rnacentral:rRNA from 1 species